rnacentral:rRNA from 1 species
UACGAAGGGGGGCUAGCGUUGUUCGGAAUCACUGGGCGUAAAGCGCACGUAGGCGGAUCUUUAAGUCAGGGGUGAAAUCCCGAGGCUCAACCUCGGAACUGCCUUUGAUACUGGGGAUCUCGAGUCCGGGAGAGGUGAGUGGAACUGCGAGUGUAGAGGUGAAAUUCGUAGAUAUUCGCAAGAACACCAGUGGCGAAGGCGGCUCACUGGCCCGGAACUGACGCUGAGGUGCGAAAGCGUGGGGAGCAAACAGGG